rnacentral:rRNA from 1 species
AUUGAACGCUGGCGGCAUGCCUUACACAUGCAAGUCGAACGGUAACGGGCCUUCGGGUGCCGACGAGUGGCGAACGGGUGAGUAAUACAUCGGAACGUGCCCGAUCGUGGGGGAUAACGAGGCGAAAGCUUUGCUAAUACCGCAUACGAUCUACGGAUGAAAGCAGGGGACCGCAAGGCCUUGCGCGGACGGAGCGGCCGAUGGCAGAUUAGGUAGUUGGUGGGAUAAAAGCUUACCAAGCCGACGAUCUGUAGCUGGUCUGAGAGGAUGAUCAGCCACACUGGGACUGAGACACGGCCCAGACUCCUACGGGAGGCAGCAGUGGGGAAUUUUGGACAAUGGGCGCAAGCCUGAUCCAGCCAUGCCGCGUGUAGGAUGAAGGCCUUCGGGUUGUAAACUGCUUUUGUGCGGAACGAAAAGCCUUCUUUUAAUACAGGAGGGUCAUGACGGUACCGUAAGAAUAAGCACCGGCUAACUACGUG